GUGGAUGAAUGUCACCCCUUCCUCCCCCCCCCCCAAAAAAAAAGUUGAGCUCGCUUAGUGAAUGGUAUUUACUUAGACAUUAGCCACUUGGUAAUUUAAUCUGUGAUAAGACGAAGUUUCUAACAAAAAUCUUUAUGAAUUAUAUAGGGAAUCCAUAUUCUUACCAACGCCAAACACCUAUUCUGGCGAUCACUAUUCCCAGCACAUCUCAAAUAGCUUUUGCUUAUCAGCAGAUCAAUCAACACCUCAUUCCUCAAACUGAACAAGGAUUCUUGAGCAAAACUUUCAACAAAUGGUUUGGAUCAUACUACUGAAAUUAUCUUCAAUGCGGACGACUCAAUGCAGACGACUCUAAUUCAUAAUAACUUCAAAGCUGGGCAUGGUGAUUUUGAAUUUUGCAACAUUUUAUUGUCUUUGGCAAACUUUUGUGAACAAACUAAUCAAAGACAAAGUCUAGAUGAACAAUUAUUUCAAUUUUGAGAAUAUCUGUUAUAAAAGAUUUUGUAAAUAUGUAUAUAGCAUUGUCGUAUUUAAUGAUUAUUUGGGGAAUGUUGAACUUAUUGUCAAAAUCAUUCAUCUGUUUUGUUUAUUCAAAUAGACAUGAAAUAAGAAAUGAGUUAUUCUUCUGAAGAAAUAAUCAGUUUUAAAAACUAUCAUCGCAAAGCUUGACCUAUGAGUAAAGUGAGUAGUACGGAAAAAGAGGGUUAGGUUGGCACAUUAGUAGCUUCGUGUCUCGAAACCAGUCUAGCUCUACGGAAGUCAUUUCGUACGCCUGCCUCUUUAAUCAGUGUACUUAGGACCGGUAUGCAGUUGCGUCAUUUCUCGAAGAUCUCCUAAAGCAGCUGAAAGUCUAGAAUCCUUUGCUGCAGUAAGUCUAUUUAAGGUCAGAUGAAGCUGGUUCUUACCACAACAGCUCCCUCGCAAAGGGAGUUGGGGUUGAAGUCCUUCGUUGUCACUUCUCGGAGCCGCAGUCUGGUAAGGACAUUUGCGAUCGCAUCCUCUUCCCGAUGAAGUCAUCUAUUGGUGCUUACUGCAACAAAAGGCACGAUGUUCUCACUGCUGUGGACACGAGAGAUGCAUUGAUGCAACACCCAUCGAAGGGAACAACCGCUGAGGUGAGCGUCGUCGACGAAUCAAAGAACACUCUGUGUAUAAUAAGACUGAGCAUUUAGUAGCUUCCACAACUUCGAAUAUGGAGAUACCAGUCUGAGAGUUUGGAAAUGUUAUGGCAUCGGUAAAGGGAAGUGCAUUGCAUAUGACAAAAUGCAAAAUUUGGAGCCGUUGAAGCUACUAAACCGGUUCCAAACUUGGGGGGAAAACAGCCUAAAUACUGCCGAGGAAUCCUCAAUGUGACACCAUUUUUAAAGCCCGAGAAAAAUUACAGGAAAACGCCAUGUUUUUAGUCGGCCGUAAACCUUAGUUUCUAGCUCAUUCGUCCUCCAUCUUAAACAAAAUGUGCUUUCGCGUGACACUUCUGGUCAAGAUUUGUCAACUGGAUUUGAAGAGACGGAGGCAAAUUCUCCAUCCAUAAGUGAAGCAGAAGACUCACCGACGGCUAUGGGGUUUAAAUAUAGAAGCGGAGGUACGCCAUUAGUGGGAACGUGGCAACGAGAAAAACACGAAUAAAUUAGUGGAAUGAAAAGCGU
rnacentral:misc_RNA from 1 species